AUAAUGGGUCAGCGACUUAUAUUCUGUAGCAAGGUUAACCGAAUAGGGGAGCCGAAGGGAAACCGAGUCUUAACUGGGCGUUAAGUUGCAGGGUAUAGACCCGAAACCCGGUGAUCUAGCCAUGGGCAGGUUGAAGGUUGGGUAACACUAACUGGAGGACCGAACCGACUAAUGUUGAAAAAUUAGCGGAUGACUUGUGGCUGGGGGUGAAAGGCCAAUCAAACCGGGAGAUAGCUGGUUCUCCCCGAAAGCUAUUUAGGUAGCGCCUCGUGAAUUCAUCUCCGGGGGUAGAGCACUGUUUCGGCAAGGGGGUCAUCCCGACUUACCAACCCGAUGCAAACUGCGAAUACCGGAGAAUGUUAUCACGGGAGACACACGGCGGGUGCUAACGUCCGUCGUGAAGAGGGAAACAACCCAGACCGCCAGCUAAGGUCCCAAAGUCAUGGUUAAGUGGGAAACGAUGUGGGAAGGCCCAGACAGCCAGGAUGUUGGCUUAGAAGCAGCCAUCAUUUAAAGAAAGCGUAAUAGCUCACUGGUCGAGUCGGCCUGCGCGGAAGAUGUAACGGGGCUAAACCAUGCACCGAAGCUGCGGCAGCGACGCUUAUGCGUUGUUGGGUAGGGGAGCGUUCUGUAAGCCUGUGAAGGUGUACUGUGAGGUAUGCUGGAGGUAUCAGAAGUGCGAAUGCUGACAUAAGUAACGAUAAAGCGGGUGAAAAGCCCGCUCGCCGGAAGACCAAGGGUUCCUGUCCAACGUUAAUCGGGGCAGGGUGAGUCGACCCCUAAGGCGAGGCCGAAAGGCGUAGUCGAUGGGAAACAGGUUAAUAUUCCUGUACUUGGUGUUACUGCGAAGGGGGGACGGAGAAGGCUAUGUUGGCCGGGCGACGGUUGUCCCGGUUUAAGCGUGUAGGCUGGUUUUCCAGGCAAAUCCGGAAAAUCAAGGCUGAGGCGUGAUGACGAGGCACUACGGUGCUGAAGCAACAAAUGCCCUGCUUCCAGGAAAAGCCUCUAAGCAUCAGGUAACAUCAAAUCGUACCCCAAACCGACACAGGUGGUCAGGUAGAGAAUACCAAGGCGCUUGAGAGAACUCGGGUGAAGGAACUAGGCAAAAUGGUGCCGUAACUUCGGGAGAAGGCACGCUGAUAUGUAGGUGAAGUCCCUCGCGGAUGGAGCUGAAAUCAGUCGAAGAUACCAGCUGGCUGCAACUGUUUAUUAAAAACACAGCACUGUGCAAACACGAAAGUGGACGUAUACGGUGUGACGCCUGCCCGGUGCCGGAAGGUUAAUUGAUGGGGUCAGCGCAAGCGAAGCUCUUGAUCGAAGCCCCGGUAAACGGCGGCCGUAACUAUAACGGUCCUAAGGUAGCGAAAUUCCUUGUCGGGUAAGUUCCGACCUGCACGAAUGGCGUAAUGAUGGCCAGGCUGUCUCCACCCGAGACUCAGUGAAAUUGAACUCGCUGUGAAGAUGCAGUGUACCCGCGGCAAGACGGAAAGACCCCGUGAACCUUUACUAUAGCUUGACACUGAACAUUGAGCCUUGAUGUGUAGGAUAGGUGGGAGGCUUUGAAGUGUGGACGCCAGUCUGCAUGGAGCCGACCUUGAAAUACCACCCUUUAAUGUUUGAUGUUCUAACGUGGACCCGUGAUCCGGGUUGCGGACAGUGUCUGGUGGGUAGUUUGACUGGGGCGGUCUCCUCCUAAAGAGUAACGGAGGAGCACGAAGGUUGGCUAAUCCUGGUCGGACAUCAGGAGGUUAGUGCAAUGGCAUAAGCCAGCUUGACUGCGAGCGUGACGGCGCGAGCAGGUGCGAAAGCAGGUCAUAGUGAUCCGGUGGUUCUGAAUGGAAGGGCCAUCGCUCAACGGAUAAAAGGUACUCCGGGGAUAACAGGCUGAUACCGCCCAAGAGUUCAUAUCGACGGCGGUGUUUGGCACCUCGAUGUCGGCUCAUCACAUCCUGGGGCUGAAGUAGGUCCCAAGGGUAUGGCUGUUCGCCAUUUAAAGUGGUACGCGAGCUGGGUUUAGAACGUCGUGAGACAGUUCGGUCCCUAUCUGCCGUGGGCGCUGGAGAAUUGAGGGGGGCUGCUCCUAGUACGAGAGGACCGGAGUGGACGCAUCACUGGUGUUCGGGUUGUCAUGCCAAUGGCACUGCCCGGUAGCUAAAUGCGGAAGAGAUAAGUGCUGAAAGCAUCUAAGCACGAAACUUGCCCCGAGAUGAGUUCUCCCUGACUCCUUGAGAGUCCUGAAGGAACGUUGAAGACGACGACGUUGAUAGGCCGGGUGUGUAAGCGCAGCGAUGCGUUG
rnacentral:rRNA from 1 species